rnacentral:rRNA from 1 species
GGGAGGUAGUGACAAUAAAUAACAAUACGGGGUUCUUUCGGAUCUCGUAAUUGGAAUGAGUACAAUUUAAAUCUCUUAACGAGGAACAAUUGGAGGGCAAGUCUGGUGCCAGCAGCCGCGGUAAUUCCAGCUCCAACAGCGUAUAUUAAAGUUGUUGCAGUUAAAAAGCUCGUAGUUGAAUUUCGGGAUCAAUUUAUCGGUCGUGCCUACGGUAUGAACUGGUACAAUUGGUUUCUCCCUUCUGACGAACCAUGAUGUCAUUUAUUUGGUGUUGUGGGGAAUCAGGACUGUUACUUUGAAAAAUUAGAGUGUUUAAAGCAGGCUCACGCUUGAAUACAUUAGCAUGGAAUAAUGAAAUAGGACGUUUGAUUCUAUUUUGUUGGUUUCUAGGAUCGACGUAAUGAUUAAUAGGGAUAGUUGGG